CUACGGGUCGCUGCAGUGAGGAAUAUUGCACAAUGGGGGGAACCCUGAUGCAGCAACGCCGCGUGGAGGAUGACGCAUUUCGGGGUGUAAACUCCUUUUAUAUGUCAAGAAAAUGACGGUAGCAUAUGAAUAAGCACCGGCUAACUCCGUGCCAGCAGCCGCGGUAAUACGGAGGGUGCAAGCGUUACUCGGAAUCACUGGGCGUAAAGGACGCGUAGGCGGGCUUGUAAGUCAGGUGUGAAAUCCUACAGCUUAACUGUAGAACUGCACUUGAAACUACGAGCCUAGAGUAUGGGAGGGGGAGAUGGAAUUAGUGGUGUAGGGGUAAAAUCCGUAAAUAUCACUAGGAAUACCUAAAGCGAAGGCGAUCUCCUGGAACAUAACUGACGCUAAGGCGUGAAAGCGUGGGGAGCAAACAGGAUUAGAUACCCUCGUAGUC
rnacentral:rRNA from 1 species